AUCGGAUUUUAUUCUUCACCAUGCGCGCGAUCAUGAAGCUCCUCAUCUGCUGUGUGUUCAUGCUGUUCCUGGUGAACGUAGUUCCAGCUGCAGGUUCUACCACAGAACUCCUGUCAUGCUGCUUUCAGCAGCUUGGUAAUAGAUCAGUGGUGUACAUACUGAACAACACCGUGGAGUCCGAUUUCACACAGUGGACCAGAAACAAGACACCCAUUAAGGAUGAACAUGGCAAUGUGGACAAGAGCAUUGUCAUAGGCUAUGGUCAGAACUGGAUCACUCUAAAUCAGAGUUACUUAGACAUUGUAUUCUACUUUCAGACAUAUGAUAUGAUGAAAAAUCAAGAAGUUCAAUGUACAGAUUUGUGUGAACCGGGAUCAGCUAACCUUCCGAUUGGAGGUGAGACACAUUAUUUCAUCACCACUUAUUACAUGUUUUAUUAUUACUGUCCAGAUCAUCAAAUUUAUAGAUUAAAACAAAACUCAAACUAAAUCUAAAGGAAAUAAAUACUGAUUUCAACAAGCUGAAAGUGAUUUAGGAAAGGAAGAAAGAGUGAUAAGAGAGAGAAAGAAUGAAAGAGCUAUUUCAUGAGAAGAUAAAAUGUCAUAACCCCAACAAUUAUGCUUUACAGAGAAGCAUGAGACAAAUCAGCGUGAUGGAGGUGACGGAGGUUUGUAUCACACGCAGAUAAACUUUGUUAUUUCUUGCAGCAGAUUGUUUUAGGAAUAGACAUAUGGUAUAUUUACAAAAAUGAUAUUUGUUGCCAGCGGUUUAGACAUUAAUGGCUGUGUGUUGAGUUAUUU
ensembl:lncRNA